rnacentral:tRNA from 1 species
GCCUCAUUGGCUCAGGGGCAGGGCGCCUGUCUUGUAAAUAGAAGGUCGCUGGUUCGAUUCCAGCAUGAGGCA